GAUGAACGCUGGCGGCGUGCCUAAUACAUGCCAGUCGAGCGAACGGACGAGAAGCUUGCUUCUCUGAUGUUAGCGGCGGACGGGUGAGUAACACGUGGAUAACCUACCUAUAAGACUGGGAUAACUUCGGGAAACCGGAGCUAAUACCGGAUAAUAUUUUGAACCGCAUGGUUCAAAAGUGAAAGACGGUCUUGCUGUCACUUAUCGAUGGAUCCGCGCUGCAUUAGCUAGUUGGUAAGGUAACGGCUUACCAAGGCAACGAUGCAUAGCCGACCGGAGAGGGUGAUCGGCCACACUGGAACUGAGACACGGUCCAGACUCCUACGGGAGGCAGCAGUAGGGAAUCUUCCGCAAUGGGCGAAAGCCUGACGGAGCAACGCCGCGUGAGUGAUGAAGGUCUUCGGAUCGUAAAACUCUGUUAUUAGGGAAGAACAUAUGUGUAAGUAACUGUGCACAUCUUGACGGUACCUAAUCAGAAAGCCACGGCUAACUACGUG
rnacentral:rRNA from 1 species